UACGUAGGCAGCAAGCGUUGUUCGGAGUUACUGGGCGUAAAGGGUGUGUAGGCGGUUUUCUAAGUCUGGUGUGAAAUCUCCCGGCUCAACUGGGAGGGUGCGCCGAAAACUGGAAGGCUAGAGUGCGGGAUGGGAGAGUGGAAUUCCUGGUGUAGCGGUGAAAUGCGUAGAUAUCGGGAGGAACACCUGUGGCGAAAGCGGCGCACUGGACCACAACUGACGCUGAGGCGCGAAAGCUAGGGGAGCAAACAGG
rnacentral:rRNA from 1 species